GACGAACGCUGGCGGCGUGCUUAACACAUGCAAGUCGAACGGAAAGGCCCUGCUUUUGUGGGGUGCUCGAGUGGCAAACGGGUGAGUAACACGUGAGUAACCUGCCCUUGACUUUGGGAUAACUUCAGGAAACUGGGGCUAAUACCGGAUAGGAGCUCCUGCUGCAUGGUGGGGGUUGGAAAGUUUCGGCGGUUGGGGAUGGACUCGCGGCUUAUCAGCUUGUUGGUGGGGUAGUGGCUUACCAAGGCUUUGACGGGUAGCCGGCCUGAGAGGGUGACCGGCCACAUUGGGACUGAGAUACGGCCCAGACUCCUACGGGAGGCAGCAGUGGGGAAUAUUGCACAAUGGGCGGAAGCCUGAUGCAGCAACGCCGCGUGCGGGAUGACGGCCUUCGGGUUGUAAACCGCUUUCGCCUGUGACGAAGCGUGAGUGUCGGUAAUGGGUAAAGAAGCACCGGCUAACUACGUG
rnacentral:rRNA from 1 species